UUCUCUUUCUUCUUCCCAUCUCUUUCACGACACCUUCUUUCACAAAGACAAAAUAUCGUUGAGAUUUUUUUUCCACCAAAUCAAAGCCUUUCCUUCACUGGUAAUCGAGAAUUUGAUGAACCAAUCUCCAUCUGAUGGGUUCUUCAAUAUCUCUUUUGUUUUGUGUUCGAAGACAUGAUUUUUAUUAGGAUUAACGAAAUUAGCCAUGAAUGAAGAUGAAUUGAGAGUUGAGGAUUAUGCUCAGGACAGCAACGAGGGGAACUACGCUGAUUUGGACAAGUUGUGAGUGAUUUGCAGAGUGGAAUUGUUGAUAAGGUUGAUGCAAAACCCAAACCUGUUUCUUCGAGAACCCAGUCCAGGGCCUGGUGAUCCUCGCUCUUUCCCAUUUGGUGAUGGUUCUGAUCGACCUGGCUUCAUGGGACCGUCACAACCGUAAAGUCUCUCUUUCUUUCACAUAAAUGCACAUACAUAUAUACACAGCCAUAUAUUUGAACGCAUGUUUUUGGUUUGUGCGUAUGACCAACAAGGCCUGCAUUAAUGUGAUCUUUGUCAACGGUCGGGAGUAUAAUUUGGCUUACUAUCUCACCGAUGGUAUUUAUCCGAAAUGGGCCACUUUUAUCCAAUCUAUUCAGAUUCCAGCAGAUCCAAAGGCAUCCUUGUUUGCUACAUGGCAAGAAGCUGUCCGUAAAGAUGUCGAGCGUACUUUUGGAGUCUUGCAAGCUCGCUUCGCCAUAGUCAAAAACCCGGCUCUUAUCCAUGAUAAGGGAACAAUUGGAAAGAUAAUGAGAGCGUGUAUCAUACUUCACAAUAUGAUAGUAGAAGACGAACGAGAUCAUUACACACAGUUUGAUUCAGCAGAAUUCGCACGAGUGGAAGCAAACAGAACAUCACAAGUGGACUCCACAACUUCAACUGAUAUAUCUUCAAAUGUCAAUAAUUUGAUGACCAUGCUGAGCAAGCGGAAGGAAAUUCGUAAUAACAAAAUACAUCAACAAUUGAAGGAUGAUUUGGUUGAGAAUAUUUGGCAAAAGUUCGGCACAAAUUAAGAUUACAACUAAUCUUUUUCCCCAUUUGUGAUUUCUACUUCUAUUUUAAUAUGCUUUUCUGUUUUGUAUGUUAUGCAAUAAUUUUCCACUUUAUUAAAAUCUUAAUAGUUUAAAUAUUUAAACUAA